rnacentral:rRNA from 1 species
AGUGGCGAACGGGUGAGUAGCGCGUGGGUAACCUGCCCUUAAGACCGGGACAACAGCUGGAAACGGCUGCUAAUACCGGAUGUAUUGUCCGAGAGGCAUCUCUUGGAGAAGAAAGCUGGCCUCUGAAAAUGCUAGCGCUUAGGGAUGGACCCGCGUCUGAUUAGCUAGUUGGUGGGGUAGCGGCCUACCAAGGCGACGAUCAGUAGCCGGCCUGAGAGGGUAAACGGCCACACUGGGACUGAGACACGGCCCAGAUUCCUACGGGAGGCAGCAGUGGGGAAUCUUCCGCAAUGGACGAAAGUCUGACGGAGCAACGCCGCGUGUAUGAAGAAGGCCUUCGGGUUGUAAAAUACUGUUGUUAGGGAAGAACGGCAUCUGUGUAAAUAAUGCAGGUGAUUGACGGUACCUAACGAGGAAGCCCCGGCUAACUACGUGCCAGCCGCCGCGGU